rnacentral:sRNA from 1 species
AAAUAAAAAAAAUAUAUAUAUAUAUAUAUAUAAAGAAUGGUCAAUUUAUCAUGGUAUAGUACAGGAAUGAGUAUAGAAGGAUCUUGAAUGUUGGCUUGUUUGAUGAGACCCAACGAUGAAAGCCUGGUGGGUAUAGUUGUGGAACUUAGGUAUGGAAUCUAGAAUGUUGUGUAAGCUUUCAGAGAAGUACAUUUUGGUUAGGAUUUGGUUAGACUUGUUAGGCAUAUGGACUUAGUUUGAAUGAUCAUGGCAAUAGGCUAGAGAAUGUUGGGAGUUCCUUUGUUUUCAAAACCUCUUCCACGGGUUCGGCUUUUGUGUUUUGCUUGAGGGCAAGCAAAAGCUAAGUCUGGGGGAGUUGAUAUAACCCGAUUUUCACCGAUUUUAUCUAUGUUUUAUGUAUAGGAUUUUGAGUCUUUAUGUUAUUUCUCGAAUCUUUUUAGUGUCUUUUCAGGUAUUCUAUGCAAUGGGACAACAAUGGAGAUAAGGAGACAUUUUGGAGCAAAAGCUAAGGAAAAGGAAGCUAAGGACGAUUUUUGUUCAGGAAUCAGCGAGGAGUGUCGACCGAUACACUCUUGGUGUCGAUCGACACAAGUUUCGGCCCAUCAAAAACCCUAGAUGCUUUCGAGUUUCCAGAAGCUCAAGUUUGCCGCAGAAGACUUCUCUAUUUGCAUUAUUAGUCUCUGGACGUUUUUAGGGUCUAUAUAUAUUGUUUUUAGACCUAAGUUUCGUU